AAGUCGUAACAAGGUUUUCGUAGGUGAACCUGCGGAAGGAUCAUUA
rnacentral:rRNA from 1 species